GUUUCAUCUGUGAAACACACACACAAUUCAGGUAGAAUAUUAAUGACUGACAGUCAUUCACUUCCAUUGCAUCUUAUGCCAUUCAAUGAAAGCUGAAUGGAGACUGGGACUGUCAUUCUGCCUGUCAUCUCAUGUCGUGUUUCACAGCAAAAAGAAACUCAUACAGGUUUCCAACAAAAUGAGGGCGAGUCAAUAAUGACGACAUUUAAUUUUUUUGUGCCAUCCUACUGAAAUACAGGCGCGCGCGAUCGCUCAGGUGCUUCCUGGUGCUUUAUUGCGGGAUCACAGGCAGGGGAACCGAAACGCUCAGCAGCGCUUCCAGGAAGCGUCGCCGGGGAGCACGCGCGUCGACAGACCGAGGAAUGCAGCAGGGUCUGCGACUCUCCAUCAGGUAGCCGCGAAACUAGAAGGUUCGCAGGCAGCGCGCGUGGCUCGGAGUGCGCGACGGUGUUUUUAUUUUCCCGCCGUCGGCGCGAGCUGCUGCUGACGCGAUGCUUUAGCCAUGGACAGCAGGAUAAACGAGAAUCCUGCGAGAACGUUUGAUUUGGCACUUCAGGUUGCAUGUCCAUCAUCUGAACAUGACGAGGUGAGGAGCAGGUGGUUCACAGAAGCAGCUGUUGCUCUGACCAAAAAAGGAAAAUAUUACCGGUCCAGCCGCUGCUGUGAAAGUUGAAAUAAGCUAUAACCCACUUCCCUCAUCAUCAUAUGUCGGUGUUCAUCUCAUUUCCUGACCCCGACUCUCAGGAUUACAGCUUCAUUUAACCCUCAUGUUAUGUUCCCGUCAUUUUGACCCAGAGGGGAUUUUCUUUUUUUUUUUAGAAAAUGCUAGUUAAUGUUAUGGCAUUGAACUAAAACCUACUGACUCUGCUCACACAGGGUAUAACAACUUCCAAAAAAAAGUGAUAGUUUUUCUACUUUUUCUGGAUUUUUUUUUUACCACCUUGUUUUCCAAUUCAUAUAUGUCCG
rnacentral:lncRNA from 1 species